GUAAGAAACAAGUUAAUGGGAAUCAUCAAAGCUAUUCGUCCCAUCGAUGUUGCUGUAGUUGUCAGCUCACUUGUCGCUAUGUACUUGUUUCGACCGCAAGACGGUUUCCAACUCAUGCCUAUAUGGCAGCUAAAAGAAACUGAAUCUGCCGAGCAAUCUAUCAAGGUUCCACCAUUGAUAGUUGAUUUUGAUGGAAACGGUCUUAAAGAAAUCAUCAUUGUAUCUGGUAGUGG